AGUGAACGCUGGCGGUAGGCCUAACACAUGCAAGUCGAACGGCAGCACAGUAAGAGCUUGCUCUUACGGGUGGCGAGUGGCGGACGGGUGAGGAAUACAUCGGAAUCUACUUUUUCGUGGGGGAUAACGUAGGGAAACUUACGCUAAUACCGCAUACGACCUACGGGUGAAAGCAGGGGAUCUUCGGACCUUGCGCGAUUGAAUAAGCCGAUGUCGGAUUAGCUAUUUGGCGGGGUAAAGGCCCACCAAGGCGACGGUCCGUAGCUGGUCUGAGAGGAUGAGCGGACAGACUGGGGAGGAGAUACGGCCCAGACUUCUACGGGAGGAAGACGUAGGGAAUGGUCGGGAAAGGACGGAAGUCGGACAGAGCAACGCGGCGGGAGUGAAGAAGGGUGUCGGAUCGUAAAGCUCUGUGGUCAGAGAAGAACGAGGGUGAGAGUGGAAAGUUCACACCGGGAAGGUAGAUUACCAGAAAGGGACGGCUUAGUACGUG
rnacentral:rRNA from 1 species